AUUGAACGCUGGCGGCAGGCUUAACACAUGCAAGUCGAGCGAGCGGCGGACGGGUGAGUAAUUUCUGGGAAACUGCCUGAUGGAGGGGGCUAACUGCUGUAACCGGUAGCUAAUACCGCAUACCAUCAGAUGUGCCCAGAGGGGAUUAGCUAGUAGGUGGGGUAUUGGCUCACCGAGGCGACGAUCCCUAGCUGGUCUGAGAGGAUGACCAGCCACACGGGAACUGAGACACGGUCCAGACUCCUACGGGAGGCAGCAGUGGGGAAUAUUGCACAAUGGGCGCAAGCCUGAUGCAGCCAUGCCGCGUGUGUGAAGAAGGCCUUCGGGUUGUAAAGCACUUUCAGCGAGGAGGCGUUACUCGCAGAAGAAGCACCGGCUAACUCCGUGCCAGCAGCCGCGGUAAUUC
rnacentral:rRNA from 1 species